rnacentral:ribozyme from 1 species
UUCUUUUUUUUUCUUUUUUCUUUUUUCUUUUUCUUUUGCUUUUUCUUUUCAAAGCAAAGCACCUUCGUAACAACUCGGGAUGGAAAGAAAGA